rnacentral:rRNA from 1 species
CCUACGGGUGGCUGCAGUGAGGAAUAUUGGUCAAUGGCCGGAAGGCUGAACCAGCCAUGCCGCGUGAAGGGCAGGGACCUAGGGGCGUUAAACUUCUUUUGGGCGGGAGCAAGAAUGGGCACGUGGGGCCAGACGAGAGUACCGUACGAAUAAGCAGCGGCGAACUCCGUGCCAGCAGCCGCGGUAAGACGGGGGAGGCAAGCGUUAUCCGGCUUUAGUGGGUUUAAAGGGUGCGUCUGCGGUGAGGUAAGUCAGCGGUGAAAUGCCCCCGCUCAACGGCGUGCAGGGCCAUUGAUACGGCCUUGCUGGACUGCGGCUGCCGUGGUAGGAAUGUGUGUUGUAGCGGUUACAUGCAUAGAUAUCACAC